UACGGAGGGUGCAAGCGUUAUCCGGAAUCACUGGGUUUAAAGGGUGCGUAGGCGGAAAAGUAAGUCAGAGGUGAAAGCCCGCAGCUCAACUGCGGAACUGCCUUUGAUACUGCUUAUCUUGAAUUAGGUUGAGGUCAGCGGAAUGUGACAUGUAGCGGUGAAAUGCAUAGAUAUGUCAUAGAACACCAAUUGCGAAGGCAGCUGGCUGAGCCUAUAUUGACGCUGAGGCACGAAAGCGUGGGGAGCGAACAGG
rnacentral:rRNA from 1 species